rnacentral:rRNA from 1 species
UACGGAGGUGGCAAGCGUUAUCCGGAUUUACUGGGCGUAAAGAGCGCGCAGGCGGCCUUGCAAGUCGGGGGUGAAAGCCCGCGGCUCAACUGGGGAGGGUCAUUUGAUACUGCUGGACUUGAAGGAGGUCGAGGGAAGCGGAAUGUGCCGUGUAGUGGUGAAAUGCGUAGAUAUCGCGCAGAACACCAGUGGCGAAGGCGGCUUCCUGGGCCGUUUUUGACGCUGAGGCGCGAAGGCUUGGGGAGCAAACGGG